AACGAACGCUGGCGGCAUGCCUAACACAUGCAAGUCGAACGAAGGCUUCGGCCUUAGUGGCGCACGGGUGCGUAACGCGUGGGAAUCUGCCCCUCGGUUCGGAAUGACCGUUAGAAAUGACUGCUAAUACCGGAUGAUGACUUCGGUCCAAAGAUUUAUCGCCGAGGGAUGAGCCCGCGUAAGAUUAGGUAGUUGGUGGGGUAAAGGCCUACCAAGCCGACGAUCUUUAGCUGGUCUGAGAGGAUGAUCAGCCACACUGGGACUGAGACACGGCCCAGACUCCUACGGGAGGCAGCAGUGGGGACUAUUGGACAAUGGGCGAAAGCCUGAUCCAGCAAUGCCGCGUGAGUGAUGAAGGCCUUAGGGUUGUAAAGCUCUUUUACCAGGGAUGAUAAUGACAGUACCUGGAGAAUAAGCUCCGGCUAACUCCGUGCCAGCAGCCGCGGUAA
rnacentral:rRNA from 1 species